rnacentral:rRNA from 1 species
AGAGACCCCAAGUCAGGCGAGAUUACCCGCUGAGUUUAAGCAUAUAAAUAAGCAGAGGAAAAAAACUUUCAAGGAUUCCCUUAGUAACGACGAGCAAACCAGGAAAUGCCCAGCUUGAGAAUCGAGUGCCUACGGUGUCCGAAUUGUAGUCAGGAGAAGCAUCCUCAGCGGCGGACCAAGCUCAAGUCCCCUGGAAGGGGGUGCCAGAGAGAGUGAGAGUCCCGUCGCGCUUGGACCCUGUCGCACCACGAGGCGCUGUCUACGAGUUGGGUUGUUUGGGAAUGCAGCCCAAAUUGGGCGGUAAAUACUGUCCAAGGCUAAAUAUUGGCGAGGGACCGAUAGCAAACAAGUACCACGAGGGAAAGAUGAAAAGGACUUUGAGAAAAGUGUUAAAGAGUACUUGAAAUUGUCGGGAGGGAAGAAGAUAGAGGGCGGCGGUGCAUCCUAGUUGGAUGUGGAACGACGCUGAGCCGGUCUGCCAAUCAACUCGAGGCGUUGACCGAUGCUGAUUGGGGCGGCGUCGCAAGUCGGGGCCUUUGUUGGCAGCGCGCUCAGUCAUCAGCGCACUACAGGCAUCGCCUUGCGGGCUCCCCAUUUGGCCCUUCUUGAAACACGGACCAAGGAGUCUGACAUGUGUACGAGUCAAUGGGUGAGAAAAUCUGUGAGGCGCAAGGAAGCUAAGUGUCGGGAUCCCCUUGAGGGUUGCACCACCGACCGUCCUUGAUAUUCUGAGAAGGGUUCGAGUGUGAGCAUGCCUGUCGGGACCCGAAAGAUGGUGAACUAUGCCUGAGUAGGGCGAAGCCAGAGUAAACUCUGGUGGAGGCCCGCAGCAAUACUGACAUGCAAAUCGUUUGUCUGACUUGGGUAUAGGGGCAAAAGACUAAUCGAAUCGUCUAGUAGCUUGUUCCCUCCAAAGUUUCCCUUAGGAUAUCUGGAGCCCAUGGGCGAGUUCUAUCGGGUAAAGCCAAUGAUUAGAGGCAUCGGGGGCACAACACCCUCAACCUAUUCUCAAACUUUAAAUAGGUAGGACGACGCGGCUUCUUUGUUGAGUCGUGCCACGGAAUCGAGAGCUUCAAGUGGGCCAUUUUUGGUAAGCAGAACUGGCGAUGUGGGAUGAACCAAAAGCCAGGUUACAGUGUCCAACUGUGCGCUAACCUAGAACCCACAAAGGGUUUUUGUCGAUUAAGAUAGCAGGACAGUUAUCAUGGAAGUCGAAAUCCGCUAAGGAGUGUGUAACAACUCACAUGCCGAAUCAACUAGCCCCGAAAAUGGAUGGCGCUAAGCACGCAGCCUAUACAUGGCCAUCAGGGCAAGUACCAGGCCCCGAUGAGUAGGAGGGUGCGCCAGUAGCCAAAAAACCUGGGGCGCGAGCCCGGGCGGAGUGGCCGUCGGUGCAGAUCUAGGUGGUAGUAGCAAAUAUUAAAAUGAGAACUUUGAAUGCCGAAGAGGGGAAAGGUUCCAUGUAAACAACACUUGCACAUGGGUUAGUCGAUCCUAAGAGACAGGCCAAUCUCGUCUGACAGUGCCUAGAGUGCGAGCAUCGAAAGGGAAUCGUGUUAAAAUUCCUGAAUCGAGAAGUGGGAGCUGACAGCAACGUUAGGGAGUCUGGAGACGUCGUCGGGGACCUCGCGAAGAGUUAUCUUUUUUGUUUAGCAGCUUGCCCAUCGUGGAAACGGCUCAGCCGGAGGUACGGUCCUGUGGCUGGAAGAGCACUGCAUGUCGCGCGGUGCUCGGUACGUCCUCGAAGACCCUUAAAAAUUUAGAGGACCGAGUGCCUCCCAUGCCCAGUCGUACUCAUAACCGCAUCAGGUCUCCAAGAUGAACAACCUCUGGUCGGUGGAACAAUGUAGGCAAGGGAAGUCAGAAAAAUAGAUUCAAAAUCUCGGGAAAAGGAUUGGCUCUGAGGGCUGGGCACGGGGGUCCCCGUCCCGAUUCCGUCGGCUGUCGAUGGACUGCUCAAGCGGGUCGUCGCGUGCCGGCCUGGGGACGGACUGGGAACGACUCCUUCGGGGGCCUUUCCUGGGCAUCAAAUAGUCGACUCAGAAUUGGUACGGACAAGGGGAAUCCGACUGUUUAAUUAAAAGAAAGCAUUGCGAUGGUCCUUGCGGAUGCUCACGCAAUGUGAUUUCUGCCCAGUGCUCUAAAUGUCAAAGUGAAGAAAUUCAACCAAGCGCGGGUAAACGGCGGGAGUAACUAUGACUCUCUUAAGGUAGCCAAAUGCCUCGUCAUCUAAUUAGUGACGCACAUGAAUGGAUUAACGAGAUUCCCACUAACCCUUUCUACUAUCCAGCGAAACCACAGCCAAGGGAACAAGCUUGGAAGAAUCAGUGGGGAAAGAAGACCUUGUUUAGCUUAACUCUAGUCCGACUCUAUAAAAUGACUUGAGAGGUGUAGGAUAAGUGGGAGCCAGAAACAGAAAAAGUGAAAUAACACUACUUUUAACGUUAUUUUACUUAUUCUGUGAAUCGGAAGCGGGGCAACGCCCAUCUUUUUGGACCCAAGGCCCACCUCGGCAUGUCGAUCCGGGUGGAAGACAUUGUCAGGUCGGGAGUUUGGCUGGAGCAGCACAUCUGUUAAAAGAUAACGAAGGUGUCCUAAGAUGAGCUUAACGAGAACAGAAAUCUUGUGUGGAACAAAAGGGUAAAAGCUCGUUUGAUUUUGAUUUCCAGUACGAAUACAAACCGUGAAAGCAUGGCCUAUCGAUCCUUUAGACCUUCAGAAUUUGAAGCUAGAUGUAUCAGAAAAGUUACCACAAGGAUAACUGGCUUGUGGCAGCCAAGCGUUCAUAGCAACGUUGCUUUUUGAUCCUUCGAUGUCGGCUCUUCCUAUCAUUCUGAAGCAGAAUUCACCAAGUGUUGGAUUGUUCACCCACCAAUAGGGAACGUGAACUAGGUUUAGACAGUCAUGAGACAGGUUAGUUUUACCCUACUGAUGACAGCGUCACAAUACUAAUUCAACCUAGUACGAGAAGAACCGUUGAUUCGAACAAUUGGUCAUUGCGCUUGGUUGAAAAGCCAGUGGUGCGAAGCUACUGUGUGCUGGAUUAUGACUGAAUGCCUCUAAGUCAGAAUCUGGGCUAGAAGCGACGCACGGGCCCGCCGCCCAUUGGCCAAGCCCUUGCAAUCGAGCCGUUGCGUGGGCCGCCUUGAAGUGUUAUUUCAAUCGAGCGGCAAGUAGAAUCCUUUGCAGACGACUUAAAUACGCGACGAGGUAUUGUAAGUGGCAGAGUGGCCUUGCUGCCAUGAUCCACUGAGAUUCAGCCUCACGUCGCAUCGAUUUGU